UACGUAGGGGGCAAGCGUUGUCCGGAUUUAUUGGGCGUAAAGAGCGUGUAGGCGGCCAAACAGGUCCGUUGUGAAAACUGGAGGCUCAACUUCCAGACGUCGACGGAAACCGUGUGGCUAGAGUCCGGAAGAGGAGAGUGGAAUUCCUGGUGUAGCGGUGAAAUGCGCAGAUAUCAGGAAGAACACCAAUGGCGAAGGCAGCUCUCUGGGACGGUACUGACGCUGAGGUGCGAAAGCGUGGGGAGCAAACAGG
rnacentral:rRNA from 1 species